rnacentral:rRNA from 1 species
AUUGAACGCUGGCGGCAUGCCUUACACAUGCAAGUCGAACGGCAGCGCGGGGGCAAUCCUGGCGGCGAGUGGCGAACGGGUGAGUAAUAUAUCGGAACGUGCCCAGUAGUGGGGGAUAGCCCGGCGAAAGCCGGAUUAAUACCGCAUACGACCUACGGGUGAAAGGGGGGGAUCGCAAGACCUCUCGCUAUUGGAGCGGCCGAUAUCAGAUUAGGUAGUUGGUGGGGUAAAGGCCUACCAAGCCUGCGAUCUGUAGUUGGUCUGAGAGGACGGCCAGCCACACUGGGACUGAGACACGGCCCAGACUCCUGCGGGAGGCAUCAGUGGGGAAUUUUGGACAAUGUGCGCAAGCCUGAUCCAGCGAUGCCGCGUGCAGGAAGAAGGCCUUCGGGUUGUAAACUGCUUUUGUCAGGGAAGAAAUCCUCUAGGCUAAUACCUUGGGGGGAUGACGGUACCUGAAGAAUAAGCACCGGCUAACUACGUGCCAGCCGCCGCGGUAAAAC